UACCUUUUCCUGCAGAUCCUUUGACAAUUCUUUUGCUUUCCCCAUGACUCAGAAGCCAGAAAUGUCAGUGCAGCACUGGAUGAAAGAUGCAAUGGUCUGUCAGGAGUCCAGGAACUCACUUACCUUUUAUAUACACACACUAAUUACAAGCAAACAGAUCACAGGUGAGGAUGGUUACCUUUAAUAGCCAUUUAAACCCCUUUGUGCCAACCUGUGUGCAUUUUAUCAGGCCAAAUUCACCAGGAUAUGUAAACUUUUGAUCAGGGUCAUUUGGGUAGUUUCUGUUGUCAUUAUGAUUUAAAAAGAGCAUAAUAAAGCCAUAAUAAGUCACAUAA